rnacentral:rRNA from 1 species
GACGAACGCUGGCGGCGUGCCUAACACAUGCAAGUCGAACGGAAAGGCCUGCUUUCCCUUGUGGAUUGCGGGUACUCGAGUGGCGAACGGGUGAGUAACACGUGAGUGAUCUGCCCCCAACUUGGGUAUAAGCCUGGGAAACUGGGUCUAAUUCCCGAUAGGACUGCAGGGUGGUGCCUGUGGUGGAAAACGAGUUUCUAGUGGUUGGGGAUGAGCUCGCGGCCUAUCAGCUUGUUGGUGGGGGAAUGGCCUACCAAGGCGGCGACGGGUAGCCGGCCUGAGAGGGUGGACGGCCACAUUGGGACUGAGAUACGGCCCAGACUCCUACGGGAGGCAGCAGUGGGGAGUAUUGCACAAUGGGCGGAAGCCUGAUGCAGCGACGCCGCGUGGGGGAUGACGGCCUUCGGGUUGUAAACUCCUUUCGACCGCGAGGAAGCCACCUGGUUGGAAGGGUGGUGACGGUAGUGGUAGAAGAAGCACCGGCUAACUACGUG